rnacentral:rRNA from 1 species
AGAGUUCGAUCCUGGCUCAGGAUGAACGCUGGCGGCGCGCCUAACACAUGCAAGUCGAACGGCACCCCCCUUCGGGGGGAAGCGAGUGGCGAACGGCUGAGUAACACGUGGAGAACCCGCCCCCUCCUCCGGGAUAGCCUCGGGAAACCGUGGGUAAUACCGGAUGACCCCGGCAGGCCGCAUGGCCGGCCGGGCAAAGCCCAGACGGGAGGGGAUGGCUCCGCGGCCCAUCAGGUAGACGGCGGGGUGACGGCCCACCGUGCCGACGACGGGUAGCCGGGUUGAGAGACCGACCGGCCAGAUUGGGACUGAGACACGGCCCAGACUCCUACGGGAGGCAGCAGUGGGGAAUCUUGCGCAAUGGGGGGAACCCUGACGCAGCGACGCCGCGUGCGGGACGAAGGCCCUCGGGUCGUAAACCGCUUUCAGCAGGGAUGAGACAAGACGGUACCUGCAGAAGAAGCCCCGGCUAACUACGUGCCAGCAGCCGCGGUAAUACGUAGGGGGCGAGCGUUAUCCGGAUUCAUUGGGCGUAAAGCGCGCGUAGGCGGCCCGGCAGGCAGGGGGUCAAAUGGCGGGGCUCAACCCCGUCCCGCCCCCUGAACCGCCGGGCUCGGGUCCGGUAGGGGAGGGUGGAACACCCGGUGUAGCGGUGGAAUGCGCAGAUAUCGGGUGGAACACCGGUGGCGAAGGCGGCCCUCUGGGCCGAGACCGACGCUGAGGCGCGAAAGCUGGGGGAGCGAACAGGAUUAGAUACCCUGGUAGUCCCAGCCGUAAACGAUGGACGCUAGGUGUGGGGGGACGAUCCCUCCGUGCCGCAGCCAACGCAUUAAGCGUCCCGCCUGGGGAGUACGGCCGCAAGGCUAAAACUCAAAGGAAUUGACGGGGGCCCGCACAAGCAGCGGAGCAUGUGGCUUAAUUCGAAGCAACGCGAAGAACCUUACCAGGGCUUGACAU